AUGAAGGGAGAAAAGAAAAUAAAGGAAGUGACAAAGAAGAGAAGAAAGAAGAAAAGAAGGAGGGAGGAAAUGAAUAUCUUAGAAGAUAAAAUGACAAAACUGGUCACUCUGCAGGAAGUGGAGUCAAGAUGGUGGAGUAGAAGCAGGGAAAGCUCAAACCACCAUGAGAAUGCUCUCCAACCAACCUUAAAAUAACUCCUCAGAAUGAAUACUGGAUUAAAAGAACCAAUAUGGAGACUGAGUGAAGUAACUUUCAUGCAGGUGAAAACUUGAAAUGUAGUCAGAGAAGGUCUGGUUUAAAGGAGUGAGAGGGGAGAACAACCUGCAGGAGACUAUACCAAGAAAUAUCAGGGCAAGGCAACAGCAGCAAGGUCCACACCCCCACAUCUACUAUUCCAGGUUCUGAUUCUGGGUCCAAGCCAAUCUCCAGAUCCUGAGACCUGACCAAGCCAACAGCAAUGCAACCCCACUCAUAUCCUAUAAAGUUCCAAGUCUGUAGUUAAGUCCAAAAUCCCAGGAUAGACACAUCAUACCUGACCUGUAUAGACAGAGAAAGCCCAUCCCAAUAUCGUGGUGAGUAUUUGAGCCUCAGAAGAAGGUGGCCUGUGCUGCACACCUGUGUAAGCCUCAAAGGAAGCCCCAAGCCCCGGUGUAAGACAUUCUCCAUCAUACUGCCCUAUGUGAGCCCAUACCUAGCUGCCCUUUACCAAAAAUCAAGGUGAAGUUUUGGGCCCUAGAGCAAGGCAAUCUACAGCAUGCCUGAUCUGAUCAAGUCUAAAGUAAAACCAAAAGCCCCUGCACAAGUCUGAGACUAGAAAUCGAGCUCUACAUAUGGUAGCUCAUAGGGAUCUGAGCCUUACAAGUCAUCAUCAAUCUCAUGGGGUGAUAGAAUCAGCAGUGGGAGGUAGCUUUCAAGAGCUCCUAGAUCACAAGCCAUCAUACCAUCUUGGAAAAAAAAAACAAAAUUUGCAGAAACCCAUAAAUAGAGCUAAGGGUAGCAUUAAGGAAGAAUCAAAAUAAAAAAAAUUGCCUUCUAUACCCUGAGAACA
rnacentral:lncRNA from 1 species